rnacentral:rRNA from 1 species
AUCGAACGCUGGCGGCGUGGCUAAAGCAUGCAAGUCGUACGCGAAAGUCCUUCGGGAACGAGUAGAGUGGCGAAAGGGCGAGGAAUACAUGGGUAACGUACCCCCGGCACAGGGAUAGCCGCGGGAAACCGCGGGUAAUACCUGAUAUGACCACAGCAUCACAGGAUGCAGCGGUAAAAGGGUGGGGACCUUCGGGCCUACCGGCCAGGGAGCGGCCCAUGACCUAUCAGCUUGUUGGUGAGGUAACAGCUCACCAAGGCGACGACGGGUACCGGGGCUGAGAGGCUGACCCGGCGCAUUGGGACUGAGACACUGCCCAGACUCCUACGGGAGGCUGCAGCGACGAAUAUUGCACAAUGGGCGAAAGCCUGAUGCAGCGACGCCGCGUGUGGGAGGAAGCCCUUCGGGGUGUAAACCACUGUCAGGGACUAACAAGCGACCGAGACGAAUAGUCUCGGAAGUUGAGUAAUCCCAGAGGAAGUCACGGCUAACUUCGUGCCAGCAGCCGCGGUAAGACGAAGGUGGCAAGCGUUGUUCGGAAUCACUGGGCUUAAAGAGCAUGUAGGCGGACUGCCAAGCACUUUGUGAAAUCCCUCGGCUCAACCGAGGAAUUGCUUGGUGAACUGGUAGUCUUGAGGCAGGUAGGGGCACACGGAACUCUUGGUGGAGCGGUGGAAUGCGUAGAUAUCAAGAGGAACGCCAGAGGCGAAGGCGGUGUGCUGGGCCUGACCUGACGCUGAGAUGCGAAAGCCAGGGGAGCGAACGGGAUUAGAUACCCUGGUAGUCCACGCUGUAAACGAUGGGUACUAGGUGUUGGUUGCAAUGAUCAGCGCCGGAGCAAACGCAUUAAGUACCCCGCCUGGGGAAUACGGUCGCAAGACUGAAACUCAAAGGAAUUGACGGGGGCCCGCACAAGCGGUGGAGCAUGUGGUUUAAUUCGAUGCAACGCGAAGAACCUUACCUGGGCUUGGACUGCAGGUGCUAUCUCCUGAAAGGGAGUUUCCUUCGGGACGCCUGUAGAGGUGCUGCAUGGCUGUCGUCAGCUCGUGCUGUGAGGUGUUGGGUUAAGUCCCGCAACGAGCGCAACCCCUGUCCCUAGUUGCCAUCAGGUCAAGCUGGGAACUCUAGGGGGACUGCCCCGGAUAACGGGGAGGAAGGUGGGGAUGACGUCAAGUCAUCAUGGCCCUUACGUCCAGGGCUACACACGUGCUACAAUGGCCGGUACAACGGGUAGCGAGACAGCGAUGUGGAGCAAAUCCCUUAAAACCGGUCUCAGUUCAGAUUGCAGUCUGCAACCCGACUGCAUGAAGUUGGAAUCGCUAGUAAUCGCGGAUCAGCAUGCCGCGGUGCAUACGUUCCCGGGCCUUGUACACACCGCCCGUCACGCCAUGGGAGUCGGUAGCACCCGAAGCCGUGGCCCAAUCCUGCUUGCAGGAGGGGAGCCGUCGAAGGU